ACCCCAGCCGCCCAGAACAGCCACCCAAUUUGCUCUCUCUCCAAAAUAUCUACCAACACACACAAACACAAUAUCACUCCGUUGAGACAAAAGAAUCUGUCAAAAAACAGUAACAGUAGAGAGAGAGUUCAUCUUCUUCAUCACAUCCUUCAACAACAAAACCAAUUGAUCCUGAAAGCAAAAAAUUACAGAUAAAGAUGAACCCAUUACUGUUUUAGCCCCUCUUUUCAACAAUCCCUCCCUUUCUCUCUCAGCCCUAAAACAGUUUGUGAAUAAUUACCACCAUAUCCAAAAAGCAUCAUAUCAUGAGCAGCCUUGAAGAGUCUCUAAGAUCUCUGUCCUUAGACUACUUGAAUCUGCUUAUCAAUGGUCAAGCCUUCAGUGACGUCACCUUCAGCGUCGAGGGUCGUCUCGUCCACGCCCACAGGUGCAUCCUGGCAGCCCGGAGCCUCUUCUUCCGGAAAUUCUUUUGUGGGCCUGACCCACCGUUGGGUCUAGACCCCUCGGGGUCCAGGAUGAGUCCCGGUGGCACAUCGUCAUCGUAUCACCGGGGGUCAGGUAGUUCACCGCAGCAGCAGCAGGUGAUACCGGUGAACUCGGUGGGGUACGAGGUGUUCUUGUUGCUGUUGCAGUUCUUGUACAGUGGACAAGUCUCGAUAGUGCCUCAGAAACAUGAGCCGAGGCCUAAUUGUGGAGAGAGAGGGUGUUGGCACACGCAUUGCACCUCCGCCGUUGAUCUUGCCCUUGACACUCUUGCUGCCGCUAGAUCCUUUGGUGUUGAACAACUUGCAUUGCUCACUCAGAAGCAAUUGGCUAGCAUGGUGGAAAAGGCCUCCAUUGACGAUGUGAUGAAAGUCCUAUUAGCUUCCAGGAAACAAGACAUGCAUCAGCUUUGGACAACGUGCUCUCACCUUGUUGCCAAAUCUGGCCUCCCACCAGAAGUCCUUGCCAAGCACCUCCCCAUCGAUAUCGUGGCCAAAAUCGAAGAGCUUCGUCUCAAAUCCUCCAUCGCCCGCCGUUCAAUGAUGCCUCAUCACCACCAUCAUCACCACCAUGACCUCGGGGCAGCUGCGGAUCUUGAGGACCAGAAAAUCCGUCGAAUGAGGCGGGCAUUGGACUCGUCAGAUGUCGAACUUGUCAAGCUCAUGGUAAUGGGGGAAGGCCUAAAUCUCGAUGAGGCAUUGGCAUUACACUAUGCAGUCGAAAAUUGCAGCCGGGAAGUUGUGAAAGCGUUACUAGAACUUGGUGCAGCUGAUGUAAACUACCCGGCUGGGCCAGCCGGCAAAACCCCGCUUCACAUUGCUUCCGAAAUGGUGUCUCCGGACAUGGUGGCAGUCCUACUCGAUCACCACGCUGACCCAAAUGUCCGAACGGUCGAUGGGGUUACUCCUCUGGACGUACUCCGAACCCUAACUUCAGAUUUUCUAUUCAAGGGGGCUGUCCCGGGACUAACCCACAUUGAACCUAACAAGCUCAGACUCUGCCUUGAGCUCGUACAGUCCGCUGCUCUUGUUCUUUCACGCGAGGAAGGCAACAGCAAUGCAAACAACAAUCCUAAUUCUUCGAAUUCCACGGCGAUUUACCCACCGCUAAGCGAUGAUCACCAUAGCAGUGGCAGCAGUGGCAGCAACAUUGGGAACCUUAACUUGGAUUCUAGAUUGGUGUAUCUGAAUCUUGGAGCAGCUCAUCAAAUGGGGUCUAGAAAUAUGGAGGGCCAUGAUCAUCAAGAUCAUGAUCAUCAUCAUAGGGCGCAAAGUGGCUGUGACCCAUCAACAAUGGUUUUCGUUCAUCUUCAUAUGAAAUUGGAGGCAUUGGGGUGAAUGUUGAUGAGACAUUUGGAGAAUCUGAGAUCUUUGCUAAUGCAAUGCAUGGGGUGGAUGGAGAUCGGAGACGCAGGUCCUCAAAAUGAAGACCUUAGGAGAGCAAGACUCACCGAUCAUUAGGGUUUGUCUGGUAUCCUUCUUGGAUUCAAUUUUUUGUUUUUAAAACUAUUGAGUAUUAAGUAAUUUAACUACAUUCAUUAUUUUCAAAAGAAAAAUUAGAUCCGAGAAGAAGGAUACCAUACCCUUA